rnacentral:rRNA from 1 species
CGAAGGGGGCAAGCGUUGUUCGGAAUUACUGGGCGUAAAGGGCGCGUAGGCGGCUUAUCAAGUCAGGCGUGAAAUUCCCGGGCUCAACCUGGGGGCAGCGCUUGAUACUGAUGAGCUUGAAUGCGGGAGAGGAUAGUGGAAUUCCCAGUGUAGAGGUGUAAUUCGUAGAUAUUGGGAAGAACACCGGUGGCGAAGGCGGCUAUCUGGCCCGUAAUUGACGCUGAGGCGCGAAAGCGUGGGGAGCAAACAGGAUUAAAUACCCUGGUAGUCCACGCCGUAAACGAUGAAUGCUAGACGUUGGCGAGCAUGCUCGUCAGUGUCGGAGCUAACGCAUUAAGCAUUCCGCCUGGGGAGUACGGUCGCAAGAUUA